ACGAGCACUUUUUAGACCCAGAUGAGAGAGAGAGAGAGAGAGAGCGAGAGCAAGGGUUGGGGUUUGGAGAGAAUCGGGUGUAGAGAGAAGCUGAUACUUUUGGGAUCAACUUCUGGGGUUUGAUCUAGGGAGGGAAGUGAGAUUGAGAAAUUUGGUCCGAAGAAGCCACCAUCGGAGGUGGUGCUGAGUGGUGGUUGUGAUGAGCCAUGGCAGCAGAGAGAGAGGAAGAGGCUGACUGGUCCGCUUAGGAAUUGAAAUCACCUGUACUUGAACCAUGUGAUUGAGCGAUAUCAGUUAUACGAACUCCACAAAUUUC